rnacentral:lncRNA from 1 species
CAGUGGAGGGAGGCGGCAGCCCAAGUACUGGCGAGGCUUGGGCCGUCAGCACUUGCGGAGAGCAGCAGCAGCCACCUUAGUCUCUAGUGAAUCUUAACCAAGGGCAGGAGAGUCAAAAGGGUGUUUUUAGGCUGGGAGAGAAAUCUAUCUGCGGAAAACAAACCCACGUGUGGACAACAGGGGCCAAGCCUGGAGCCGAUUUCCUCACACUGUUUGUGAUGCAUUGGAAAACAUGGGACACAGCCUGUGCAGCGACGCCCUUGGUCGGUGACGACAUUCGGCAGCCCUUCACAAGUCUUACUGAGGAUCCCCUGCAUGUCAAGAACUCCCCUGGGCCCUGAGAAUGCCGGGUGAACAGAAGAAAACAGGCAUCGGUAAGUGAGGCUGCGAGGCGAGCUAAAGACUUCAGAAGGACGGAGAGGACUUGGGGCUUUUGAGCUCUGACCUGCGAGGAUGAAGUGAGGAAACGAGCCGUGCGCAAGAUGUUUCAGGAAAGUACCAGGCUGUUGUUUAAUCCUCUCAAAUAAUCCCGAAAGGCAGAUAUUUCUACAUAAGAGGAAACAGGAGCAUGGGAAGGUGAAGCUGCAUG